GUAUUGAUUUAGCAUCACUGUAAAGUUGAAAAAUCAUAAGUCAGACCAUGUUUAGUCAGGGGCCAUCUGUAUUAAUGUUGAGCUGCUGGUUUCUCUUUGAGUCUUCAGGCAGCCAAAGGGAAAUAUAACUAGUUCCUUGACUCACCUUAUUCAUCAGGAGAGAGCAUAGAAAGGCCUCAGGAGAAGCCAGGGUUUCCUGGAGUUGCUUUUCAGGGCAUUUUUUGGUUCAGUUGUCAUGUGGAAUUAUCUUUAACCACAACUUGGUGAUAAAUAACGUUCCUGAUUUCCUGUAGAUAUUUCCCAUUUCUAAGUGAGCUGGAGAUAUGGUCAUAUUAUAAAUUAGGAAUGAAAUCUCUUAAGGAACCUGCCUGUCUUUCAAAUGACUUUCCUGAAGUAAUUUUCUCAGUUGGACUUUCAGUUCUCUUUUGGCCAAGACACAAAGUCUACAGAUAGCCAUAGUCUACCAUCUUUUUUCUUUCAUUUUUUUAUCUUUUAAAUUAACUUAAAAUUGAUUUUGCAUUUGUGUCAGUUGAUAAGUGUUAAUACGUGCAGAUUGGUGUAACUAAUCUACAGGUUCUAGUUUCUUCACCACAAAAACUGCCUCAUGCUACUUAUUUAUAGUCAUAUCCUCCCCCUGCCUAUAACCUUAGCCAACCACAGAUCCAUUCUGUGUCACUAUAGUUUUGUCUUUUCAAGAGUGUCAUUUAAAUGGGGCCAUAUGCUCUGUAACCUUUCUUUCUUUCCUUUUUUUUUUUUGAGGUGGAUACCACUAUAUUGUCCAGGCUGGUCUUGAACACCUAAAAUCAAAUGAUUGUCUUCCAUCAUCUUCUGGAUUAGCUGGGAUGAAAGUUGUAUGCCACCAUGCCCAGCUUAGUGC
rnacentral:lncRNA from 1 species